rnacentral:rRNA from 1 species
UGAUGGUACCUGAGGAAUAAGAGGUUGCUAACUCUGUGCCAGCAGCAGCGGUAAUACAGAGACCUCAAGCGUUAUCCGGAUUUACUGGGUGUAAAGGGUCCGCAGGCGGAUUAGCGGGUCAGAAGUUAAAACUUCGAGCUCAACUCGAAGACUGCUUUUGAAACUACUAAUCUAGAGUUCGGAAGAGGCAAUCGGAAUUGCUGGUGUAGUCGUAAUAAGCGUUGAUAUCAGCAAGAACACCAAAUGCGAAGGCAGAUUGCUAGUACGUAACUGACGCUCUGGGACGAAAGCGUGGGGAGCAAACAGGAUUAGAUACCCUGGUAGUCCACGCCCUCAACGAUGCACACUAGGUAUUGGCAGUAUCGACCCUGUCAGUGCCGUUGAAAAAAGCUAACGCGUUAAGUGUGCCACCUGGGGAGUACGGCCGCAAGGCUAAAACUCAAAGGAAUUGACGGGGACCCGCACAAGCGGUGGAGCAUGUGGUUUAAUUCGAAGAUACGCGAAGAACCUUACCUGGGCUCGAAAUGCAGCUGCAAGCCGAUGGAAACAUUGGCCGCCUUCGAGGGUGCUGUAUAGGUGCUGCAUGGUUGCCGUCAGCUCGUGCCGUGAGGUGUACCGUUAAGUCGGGAAACGAGCGCAACCCACGUCGUAUGUUAAAUUGUACAUACGAGACUGCCUGCGCAAGCAGGAGGAAGGAGUGGAUGACGUCAAAUCAGCAUGGCUCUUACGUCCAGGGCUACACACAUAAUACAAUGGCCGGCACAGAGGGUUGCUAAGUCGCGAGACGGAGCUAAUCCCAUCAAAACCGGCCCCAGUUCAGAUUGUAGGCUGCAACUCGCCUACAUGAAGUUGGAAUCGCUAGUAAACGCAUAUCAGCCACGGUGCGUUGAAUACGUUCUCGGGUCUUGUACUCACCGCCCGUCACACCAUGGAAGUUGGCAAUGCCCAAAGCUCUGCAAAGAGUUAAGGCAGGGUCAAUGACUGGGGUGAAGUCGUAACAAGGCAUCCCUAGCGGAAGCUGGGGAUG